UAGCUCAGUUGGUAGAGCACGACCUUGCCAAGGUCGGGGUCGCGAGUUCGAGUCUC
rnacentral:tRNA from 33 species